rnacentral:rRNA from 1 species
AGUGAACGCUGGCGGUAGGCCUAACACAUGCAAGUCGAACGGCAGCACAGUAAGAGCUUGCUCUUACGGGUGGCGAGUGGCGGACGGGUGAGGAAUACAUCGGAAUCUACUUUUUCGUGGGGGAUAACGUAGGGAAACUUACGCUAAUACCGCAUACGACCUACGGGUGAAAGCAGGGGAUCUUCGGACCUUGCGCGAUUGACUGAGCCGAUGUCGGAUUAGCUAGUUGGCGGGGUAAAGGCCCACCAAGGCGACGAUCUGUAGCUGGUCUGAGAGGAUGAUCAGCCACACUGGAACUGAGACACGGUCCAGACUCCUACGGGAGGCAGCGGUGGGGAAUAUUGGACAAUGGGCGCAAGCCUGAUCCAGCCAUACCGCGUGGGUGAAGAAGGCCUUCGGGUUGUAAAGCCCUUUUGUUGGGAAAGAAAAGCAGCAGGUUAAUACCCCGCUGUUCUGACGGUACCCAAAGAAUAAGCACCGGCUAACUUCGUG